UUCAUCUCACUUUCACUUUCCCUUUCUCUUUUUUCUCUUUCUUUCUCUAGCUGCGGCUAUCUUCUUGCCUCAUCCUCCUUCAUCCUCCUGCAUUCACCAGAUCUACAGGAUGACUUUCAGUUUACUCUCAACUUCCAAUUAAUAUUAACAAAUCAUAUCUACUAGAUGCAUACUAGGAUAAUAGAUCUGAUUUAUUGGUUUUGUUAACAGAGAAUAAAGAUGAGAAGAGUUGAUGGGAUUCCUGUGAUGAAAUUGAAUUUAGUUGCAGCCAUGGAUGAUUGAGAACGAAUUGAAUAUGGGUUUGAUUGUUCUGGUGAUGGAAGAUGAUUGAUGCUGCAAAUUACAGAUCGAGAGAGUUAGGGUUUGAAGCCGAGAAUCAAUUUGUAGAAGUGAUCGAUGGUUGAUGUGGCAGUGACGAAGAUGAUGGUGGUCAUUAAUGGCAGAAAUUGAAUUUAGGGUUCGCUGUGAAUCUCAGAGGAGGAUUUUAAGACAACUAAAGUAAUCUGGGGUGAUUCUAGAACUGAAGAAGAAGAAUUAAAAGAUGGGUUUGUCUGGAAAUCAAGUUUCGAGCGAAAUAUGUGAGUAAUCGGUGUACAUGGUCUUCACUAAGAUCCAAGUAAUCUGUCAAGGAAAUGAAGCUGAAAUGAAGGAAUUAGAGGUCUUGAAGAGUUGCUGUGAUUUUGAAGUUAAGAUACAGAUGGUGAUGAACAGUUGAUACAUAAAUUAGGGUUGUGCUCAGUGUUUGAAUUGUGGAGAUGGGUUUGAACUAGAAUAUAUUGAUGUUGUUCUUGUUGAACCAGAUGGAGAGCAAGGAACUGAAUGGUGGUGCAUUUGUCUGAAAUUGAGAAGGAAGUGAAGAAAGUGAUGCAAGUUUGUUGUGGGUUGAGUAUGCUGAGAGGGGAUGAUGCUGAGUCUGUAUGAAUGUUUGGCUAUGAAAUGGUAUGCUGGUGAGAUGGAGGUUAAUCUGAGUUUGAGUCACGCUUGGUGGAGUUUGGGUACUGCGAGUAGAUGAACAUUGCAGGGAAUGAUGGCAGCUUCAUUUGGAGAUAGAAAUGGUGCAGGAAAGGAUCCAGCGGUGAGCUGCAAUGAGUUCCAAAGAGUGGUCAUUGCACUGAAAGUAAGCUUAGGGGUGUUGGAGAUGAAAGGAAAAUCUUGGAAAUGGAUCUCUCUCUGGAACAGGAAGAGAUUAGAGCAGGGGGUACAGUUCCCGUGGAACCCGAAGAGGAUGGAGGGAAGCUUAAUUUCAAGGUUUGUGGAGGAGGAGGAGUCAGUCAGGAAUAUUGCAAGGGUGUACAACCAAGGAUGUGGCGGAAUUGGCAAGUGAUAAUAAUGUUUGUGUCAUCUGCAAGCUUGGCGGAAGUACUGGAUGUCAGUCAAUGUUGCUUUAUUCAUGUUUAGUUUUUGGUGGCAUUGGAUACUGAAUUGUGAAGUCAGACACUUCUCAUGAGCAAGUGAAGGUAAAACUUGCAAAAGCAAAGAAGGAAAACACGAAAUUUGAUUACUGAGUUGUAGGAAUCAUAUUAUUGAUCUAUGUAAGUGGAUCAAUAGCAGAUCUGGGUUGUUUUGAUGUUGAGCUCGAACUGGUGGCGAUAAUAAUAAUAGCGACAUCAACAGAGCUUUGUCGGAAUACUUCUCGCAGCCUACAGAGUUUGGGGUUUAUCUGGUCUGAAUUGGGUUGAGUCUGAAUACGAGUUGGUGGAGAAAGCAAUCCAACUGCGAAGUGGAGAUAUAUGUUGAGCUGGUUGCAAAUGGUGUAAGGAAAGUUCUUGGCUGGUCUAGGAAUAGUAGUUGACUGAGAAGACUGCAGCACAUUUCUUGGAUUGGCAGAUGCUUGUGGUUAUCCAGUUGCGGUAUGGGUCUAUUGGUUGGUUAGUUGGUGCAACACUUAGGUAUGCUCAGGCUGGAAAGUAAAAGCGAGUGAUUGCUUGUAUAGGUGAUGGAAGUUUCCAGGUAACUGCACAAGAUAUAUCAACAAUGUUGAGGUGUGAGCAGAACACCAUCAUCUUCCUGAUAAAUAAUGGUGGGCACACCAUCGAAGUUGAGAUCCAUGAUGGACCUUACAAUGUGAUUAAGAACUGGAACUACACUGCCUUACUGAUACUAUUCAUAACAGUGACGGAAAAUACCACCAAGGUUCAAUGUGAGGAAGAACUGGUGGAAGCGAUUGAGACUGCGACUGAAGUUAAGAAGGAUUGCUUGUGUUUCAUUGAGGUUAUAGUUCACAAGGCUAGACGAACAGAAAGUAGAGAUUUGGUUCUGUGGUUGAGUUGCUUGGCAACCAUUGGUGGUGGUUAGACGUUCAAUCUUUACAUGCUUGAAUUCAAUUGGCUGAAUUUUGUUGCUGAAGAGGAUGUGGAAACAGUUGAAACUGCUGGAACACAAACAGUUGCUGUUAGUCAGACUGAAAAGAUGCGGUGAUAGCUAAACCCAUGGAAGUGGAAGGAAAUGGAACUUACGAGAUUGAAGAGCUAGCAGAGAAACCUAAGUCCAAGCAAGGAGAUGGAGCUGAAGUAGUAAACAAUGUUGUGUUGUGAAAAUUGCUAAUUUAUGGGAAGAGCUCAAUCUGGUUGCGUUAUCAAAGCCGAACAGGUUACUACAACAUGUACAAGGAGUACCGUGACACUACUCUCAAUGGAGGUGUAGAACAGAUGUACACUGAAAUGGCUUCUCGUCACAGAGUUAGGUCUCGAUGCAUCCAGAUCAUCAAAACUGCCACCAUCCCUGCCAAGCUUUGCAAGAGAGAGAAAAAAGCAAUUCCACAAGGACAUCAAGUUCCCAUUGGUAUUCCAGAAGGUCAGACCACCAACCAGGAGAUUGAAGACCACAUACAAGGCAACGAGACCCAACUUGUUCAAGUAAGCACUUGGUUUAGGGAGAUACUGGAAUAUCAUCCACAGCUGCUCAAAGACUACAUCAGUGGAGCUGAAAAAACAAACUUUCUAUACCCUAGGUAUUGCUUGCUCAAAGACUACAUCAGUGGAGCUGAGACUUGACUUUUCGUAACAAAUAUCUAUAUCACCGCCACUUAUUUGUAUUUUUUCGUGGAUUACAUUGAUAUGUGAAUGCUGUUACACUGGUUGAGGUUUAAAUUGAAUGAAUCAUUCGAACCAAUUUAUGUUUCAUUUUAAGAAAGUUUAA